GUGAACGCUGGCGGUAGGCCUAACACAUGCAAGUCGAACGGCAGCACAGUAAGAGCUUGCUCUUACGGGUGGCGAGUGGCGGACGGGUGAGGAAUACAUCGGAAUCUACUUUUUCGUGGGGGAUAACGUAGGGAAACUUACGCUAAUACCGCAUACGACCUACGGGUGAAAGCAGGGGAUCUUCGGACCUUGCGCGAUUGAAUGAGCCGAUGUCGGAUUAGCUAGUUGGCGGGGUAAAGGCCCACCAAGGCGACGAUCCGUAGCUGGUCUGAGAGGAUGAUCAGCCACACUGGAACUGAGACACGGUCCAGACUCCUACGGGAGGCAGCAGUGGGGAAUAUUGGACGAUGGGCGCAAGCCUGAUCCAGCCAUACCGCGUGGGUGAAGAAGGCCUUCGGGUUGUAAAGCCCUUUUGUUGGGAAAGAAAAGCAGCAGGUUAAUACCCCGCUGUUCUGACGGUACCCAAAGAAUAAGCACCGGCUAACUUCGUG
rnacentral:rRNA from 1 species